rnacentral:rRNA from 1 species
CCUAAGGUAGCGAAAUUCCUUGUCGGGUAAGUUCCGACCUGCACGAAUGGCAUAAUGAUGGCGGCGCUGUCUCCAGCAGAGGCUCAGUGAAAUCGAAUUCGCCGUGAAGAUGCGGUGUACCCGCGGCUAGACGGAAAGACCCCGUGAACCUUUACUGCAGCUUGACAUUGAACUUUGACCUUACUUGUGUAGGAUAGGUGGGAGGCUUUGAAACUCGGACGCUAGUUCGAGUGGAGCCGUCCUUGAAAUACCACCCUGGUAAUGUUGAGGUUCUAACUCUGUCCCGUUAUCCGGGACGAGGACCAUGUCUGGUGGGUAGUUUGACUGGGGCGGUCUCCUCCUAAAGAGUAACGGAGGAGUACGAAGGUGCGCUCAGCGUGGUCGGAAAUCACGCGUAGAGUAUAAAGGCAAAAGCGCGCUUAACUGCGAGACCCACAAGUCGAGCAGGUACGAAAGUAGGUCUUAGUGAUCCGGUGGUUCUGUAUGGAAGGGCCAUCGCUCAACGGAUAAAAGGUACUCUGGGGAUAACAGGCUGAUACCGCCCAAGAGUUCAUAUCGACGGCGGUGUUUGGCACCUCGAUGUCGGCUCAUCUCAUCCUGGGGCUGAAGCAGGUCCCAAGGGUAUGGCUGUUCGCCAUUUAAAGAGGUACGCGAGCUGGGUUUAGAACGUCGUGAGACAGUUCGGUCCCUAUCUACCGUGGGCGCUGGAAAUUUGAGAGGAUCUGCUCCUAGUACGAGAGGACCAGAGUGGACGAACCUCUGGUGUACCGGUUGUGACGCCAGUCGCAUCGCCGGGUAGCUAUGUUCGGAAGGGAUAACCGCUGAAAGCAUCUAAGCGGGAAGCCUACCUCAAGAUAAGAUUUCCCCGAGGCUUUAUGCCUCCUAAAGAGCCGUUGAAGACUACGACGUUGAUAGGUUGGAUGUGGAAGCAUAGCGAUAUGUGAAGCUGACCAAUACUAAUUGCUCGUGAGGCUUGACUAUACAACACCCAAACAGUUG